AGAAUUCACUGCAAAAAUCCGAAAUAUUUUUUUCAGAAACCAGGGGGGUGUGAAAACUGUGGCGGGCUCACAAUUGAGCCCCGUUCAGUGGCAAAUACCAUGAAUUUAGGGACAAGUAGUCAUGGAAAUGGCGUCAUUUUCACUCAAAAUCCGCCAUGUUUUUGGCUUCACUUGGUUGACUGAACGAAGUAUAGGAGCAGGUCCUCCAGUUAUUAUACAGCUCAGUGGGCGUAACCCACUGAGCUAUACUAUAUUACUGGAGGACGUGCUC
rnacentral:lncRNA from 1 species